AUAGUAGUGUGACAUGCCCGUUUGGGUUAUACUCUGAUGAUGUAUGUUAUUUAUUAUUAAACUGUAUUUUGGGUAACGGGGUGUUACAUCCAA
rfam:Medicago truncatula strain A17 chromosome 4, whole genome shotgun sequence.